AGAGUUUGAUCAUGGCUCAGGAUGAACGCUAGCUACAGGCUUAACACAUGCAAGUCGAGGGGCAUCAGGAAGAAAGCUUGCUUUCUUUGCUGGCGACCGGCGCACGGGUGAGUAACACGUAUCCAACCUGCCCUUUACUCGGGGAUAGCCUUUCGAAAGAAAGAUUAAUACUCGAUAGCAUAAUGAUUCCGCAUGGUUUCAUUAUUAAAGGAUUCCGGUAAAGGAUGGGGAUGCGUUCCAUUAGGUUGUUGGUGAGGUAACGGCUCACCAAGCCUUCGAUGGAUAGGGGUUCUGAGAGGAAGGUCCCCCACAUUGGAACUGAGACACGGUCCAAACUCCUACGGGAGGCAGCAGUGAGGAAUAUUGGUCAAUGGGCGUUAGCCUGAACCAGCCAAGUAGCGUGAAGGAUGAAGGCUCUAUGGGUCGUAAACUUCUUUUAUAUAAGAAUAAAGUGCAGUAUGUAUACUGUUUUGUAUGUAUUAUAUGAAUAAGGAUCGGCUAACUCCGUGCCAGCAGCCGCGGUAAUACGGAGGAUCCGAGCGUUAUCCGGAUUUAUUGGGUUUAAAGGGAGCGUAGGUGGACUGGUAAGUCAGUUGUGAAAGUUUGCGGCUCAACCGUAAAAUUGCAGUUGAUACUGUCAGUCUUGAGUACAGUAGAGGUGGGCGGAAUUCGUGGUGUAGCGGUGAAAUGCUUAGAUAUCACGAAGAACUCCGAUUGCGAAGGCAGCUCACUGGACUGCAACUGACACUGAUGCUCGAAAGUGUGGGGUAUCAAACAGGAUUAGAUACCCUGGUAGUCCACACAGUAAACGAUGAAUACUCGCUGUUUGCGAUAUACAGUAAGCGGCCCAAGCGAAAGCAUUAAGUAUUCCACCUGG
rnacentral:rRNA from 1 species